rnacentral:rRNA from 1 species
GGGAUAACAUUUGGAAACAGAUGCUAAUACCGCAUAAGAUUACAGUACCGCAUGAUACAGUGAUCAAAGGAGCAAUCCGCUGAAAGAUGGGCUCGCGUCCGAUUAGAUAGUUGGUGAGGUAACGGCUCACCAAGUCGACGAUCGGUAGCCGGACUGAGAGGUUGAACGGCCACAUUGGGACUGAGACACGGCCCAGACUCCUACGGGAGGCAGCAGUGGGGAAUAUUGCACAAUGGGCGAAAGCCUGAUGCAGCAACGCCGCGUGAGGGAAGACGGUUUUCGGAUUGUAAACCUCUGUUUUCGGUGACGAAUAAAUGACGGUAACCGAGUAGGAAGCCACGGCUAACUACGUGCCAGCAGCCGCGGUAAUACGUAGGUGGCAAGCGUUAUCCGGAAUUACUGGGUGUAAAGGGAGCGCAGGCGGGAUAGCAAGUCAGUUGUGAAAACUAUGGGCUCAACCCAUAGAUUGCAGUUGAAACUGUUAUUCUUGAGUGGAGUAGAGGCAAGCGGAAUUCCGAGUGUAGCGGUGAAAUGCGUAGAUAUUCGGAGGAACACCAGUGGCGAAGGCGGCUUGCUGGGCUCUAACUGACGCUGAGGCUCGAAAGUGUGGGGAGCAAACAGGAUUAGAUACCCUGGUAGUCCACACUGUAAACGAUGAUAGCUAGGUGUGGGGGGUCUGACCCCCUCCGUGCCGGAG